GAUGAACGCUGGCGGCGUGCCUAAUACAUGCAAGUCGAGCGAACGGACGAGAAGCUUGCUUCUCUGAUGUUAGCGGCGGACGGGUGAGUAACACGUGGAUAACCUACCUAUAAGACUGGGAUAACUUCGGGAAACCGGAGCUAAUACCGGAUGAUAUUUUGAACCGCAUUGUUCAAAAGUGAAAGACGGUCUUGCUGUCACUUAUAGAUGGAUCCGCGCUGCAUUAGCUAUUUGGUAAGGUAACGGCUUACCAAGGCAACGAUGCAUAGCCGGCCUGAUAGGGUGGUCGGCCACACUGGAACUGAGACACGGUCCAGACUCCUACGGGAGGCAGCAGUAUGGAAUCUUCCGCAAUGGGCGAAAGCCUGACGGAGCAACGCCGCGUGAGUGAUGAAGGUCUUCUGAUCGUAAAACUCUGUUAUUAGGGAAGAACAUAUGUGUAAGUAACUGUGCACAUCUUGACGGUACCGAAUCAGAAAGCCACGGCUAACUACGUG
rnacentral:rRNA from 1 species